UUGGAGGGCAAGUCUGGUGCCAGCAGCCGCGGUAAUUCCAGCUCCAAUAGCGUAUAUUAAAGUUGUUGCAGUUAAAAAGCUCGUAGUUGAAUUUCGGGGUUAGUAGGUUGGUCAUGCCUCUGGUAUGUACUGGUCUCACUGAUUCCUCCUUCCUGAUGAGCCGUAAUGCCAUUAAUUUGGUGUUGCGGGGAAUUUGGACUGUUACUUUGGAAAAAUUAGAGUGUUUAAAGCAAGCUAACGCCUGAAUACAUUAGCAUGGAAUAAUGAAAUAGGACGUUCGAUCCUAUUUUGUUGGUUUCUAGGAUUGACGUAAUGAUUAAUAGGGAUAGUUGGGGGCAUUAGUAUUCAAUUGUCAGAGGUGAAAUUCUUGGAUUUAUUGAAGACUAACUACUGCGAAAGCAUUUGCCAAGGAUGUUUUCAUUAAUCAAGAACGAAAGUUAGGGGAUCGAAGACGAUCAGAUACCGUCGUAGUCUUAACCAUAAACCAUGCCGACUAGGGAUCGGAUGAUGUUAAUUUUUUAAUGACUCAUUCGGCGCCUUACGGGAAAC
rnacentral:rRNA from 1 species